UGUUCUUUUCUUUUGUGUACAGAUGCACAAAGCAAGGUCAUCAGAAGCCUCUAGAUUCAAAAGAUGAUAAUACUGAAAAACACUGCCCUGUGACAGUGAAUCCUUGGCACAUGAAGAAAGCUUUUAAAGUCAUGAACGAAUUAAGAAGUCAAAAUUUGCUGUGUGAUGUCACAAUUGUGGCAGAAGACAUGGAAAUCUCUGCUCACAGAGUGGUGCUGGCCGCUUGUAGUCCUUAUUUUCACGCCAUGUUUACAGGUGAGAUGAGUGAGAGCCGAGCAAAGAGAGUUCGGAUAAAAGAGGUGGACGGCUGGACCCUGAGGAUGCUAAUUGAUUAUGUUUACACUGCAGAAAUUCAGGUUACAGAAGAAAAUGUACAGGUACUUCUCCCAGCAGCUGGUCUGUUACAGUUACAGGAUGUGAAGAAGACUUGCUGUGAAUUCUUGGAAUCUCAGCUUCACCCUGUCAACUGCUUAGGAAUUCGGGCUUUCGCUGAUAUGCAUGCAUGCACAGAACUCCUGAACAAGGCCAACACUUAUGCAGAGCAACAUUUUGCAGAUGUCGUACUUAGUGAAGAAUUUCUCAACCUGGGCAUUGAACAAGUGUGCAGCUUAAUCUCAAGUGACAAACUUACCAUUUCCUCAGAAGAGAAGGUAUUUGAAGCAGUAAUAGCAUGGGUGAACCACGACAAGGAUGUGAGGCAAGAGUUUAUGGCUCGACUGAUGGAACAUGUACGGUUACCUUUGCUUCCUCGGGAGUAUUUGGUUCAGAGGGUUGAAGAGGAGGCAUUGGUCAAGAAUAGCAGUGCUUGCAAAGAUUACCUAAUUGAAGCUAUGAAGUAUCAUUUGCUGCCAACAGAGCAGCGGAUAUUAAUGAAGAGUGUCCGGACACGGCUGAGAACACCCAUGAAUCUUCCCAAAGUAGGAUCUACUUUGAUGGUGGUAGUUGGGGGCCAAGCACCAAAGGCUAUUCGAAGUGUGGAAUGCUAUGACUUUAAGGAAGAACGAUGGCACCAAGUGGCAGAAUUGCCUUCUAGGAGAUGCCGAGCAGGAAUGGUCUACAUGGCUGGGCUUGUUUUUGCUGUUGGUGGCUUUAAUGGCUCAUUAAGAGUUCGCACUGUAGAUUCCUAUGACCCUGUGAAGGACCAAUGGACCAGUGUUGCCAAUAUGCGAGACCGGAGAAGCACUUUGGGAGCGGCUGUGUUAAAUGGAUUGUUAUAUGCAGUGGGGGGCUUUGAUGGGAGUACAGGUUUAUCAUCUGUGGAAGCGUAUAACAUAAAGUCUAAUGAGUGGUUUCAUGUAGCUCCAAUGAACACGAGGAGGAGCAGUGUUGGUGUGGGCGUUGUUGGAGGUUUGCUCUAUGCUGUAGGGGGUUAUGAUGGAGCUUCACGUCAGUGUCUUAGCACAGUAGAAUGCUAUAAUGCUACAACAAAUGAGUGGACCUAUAUAGCAGAAAUGAGCACCAGACGGAGUGGAGCAGGUGUUGGUGUGUUAAACAACUUAUUAUAUGCUGUAGGAGGUCAUGAUGGCCCUUUAGUACGAAAAAGUGUUGAAGUAUAUGAUCCUGCCACAAAUGCCUGGAGACAGGUAGCAGAUAUGAACAUGUGCAGAAGAAAUGCAGGGGUUUGUGCAGUUAAUGGUCUGUUAUAUGUUGUUGGAGGGGAUGAUGGUUCCUGUAACUUGGCAUCGGUAGAAUAUUAUAACCCAACAACAGAUAAAUGGACAGUUGUGUCAUCUUGUAUGAGCACAGGGAGAAGUUAUGCAGAAUGUUUCUUUAACAAAAUCGAUCCAAUAGUGGAGAAAAAAAGAAGUCUAUACUAAUUAACCAUCACUGUUGUUUAUGCAUCGUCCAAAACAACACUUCAUAGAAGAACUAUUACAGUAGGAUCCCAGAAUAACAUGACUCAAUAAUAGGGGUCACAGUUAUUGAUAAACCAUUAUGAGCCUGAAGGACAUUUUCGGCAUAUUUACACAUGAGAAACAGGCUUCAACAAGUAUUUCUGAAGUGACUGAGAAUCUAGCACUUCUCCACUUGUAGCUGCACUUUAAGUCUCAGCAGAAGAUAAGAUCGUCUGCCUUUAUAGGCCUCGGAUACUGAAGAUUAUUUUUGGUAGAAGCACUGUGUAGGCUUUUUCUGCAAUGAGCAGCAGCUGACUGAAUUUUAAUAAGAAACCUGGACUGCAGUACUUACUCUGUAGUCUUUAGCUAACAGUUGCUUUCAUAAAGACUAGUUCUCAUCACCCUGGAAUGACUAUGGAUUAUUUUGUGAAGGAGGAUGAAGUUAAUGUGUGUUCUUGUAAAAUUAAGUUUUAUCUUUAUUCCUUCUCCUGAAAAUCUGUAUACCCAGGAACUGAAAAUCUUUGAACAGGUAUUAAAAUCUGCGUAAGUAUACAAAGUGAUUGAGGGAUAAAACUAUUUGCUUUUAUAAAUAUCUUUGAUUACAUGAAUAUAAUAAAUUGUGUGCAUAUAAAUGUGUGUCUAUAUGCUUUCCUUUAAAUGUUUGAAAAGAUGUUUGAAACUUGAUUAUACUAUUUAUAAUUGGCACAGUACUUUGAAUUAUGCCAGUACUACAUUGUAAAACAGAGUUGUAUUUUUUGAUAUUUAACAAUGCUUAACACUUUAAAAUGCCACUUCUGAGGAAUGAACAUGGUGUAACACACUUGAAUAUGUGUGAUGCCAAACUUUUUAAAAUAAAGUAUAAAUUAUGCUUAUUUAUUAUUUUCUUUAGUUUAAUCUUGGUCAUGUUUUGGUGUGUAUUUUUAAUUUUUUCUUAAAGUAACACUUUGGCAUGAAUAUAACUGCAGGUUUUUGAUGAAUAUAAUGAAUGUAUGGAAUUCAACUGAAUUUGCAUGGUCUUAAGACUUUUUCUGUGUGUAUAAAUUUAGCUGCUAUUAACAGAAGGAGAGAGCUUUCUGUAAGUAGCCAUGUGCUUUGAUCAGAUAGUUUUUCUGAGAUCUUCAAUUAAUCUCACUUUAAAGAUGACCAAAACAUGUCUUUCUUGAAUUAUCUUUGAAUAAAAGUUUGUAUAUUAUUUGUUUUA